rnacentral:rRNA from 1 species
UGCAGUCGAACGAUGAACCGCUUUCGGGCGGGGAUUAGUGGCGAACGGGUGAGUAACACGUGGGCAAUCUGCCCUGCACUCUGGGACAAGCCCUGGAAACGGGGUCUAAUACCGGAUAUGACSGUCSGCCGCAUGGUGGAUGGUGUAAAGCUCCGGCGGUGCAGGAUGAGCCCGCGGCCUAUCAGCUUGUUGGUGAGGUAGUGGCUCACCAAGGCGACGACGGGUAGCCGGCCUGAGAGGGCGACCGGCCACACUGGGACUGAGACACGGCCCAGACUCCUACGGGAGGCAGCAGUGGGGAAUAUUGCACAAUGGGCGAAAGCCUGAUGCAGCGACGCCGCGUGAGGGAUGACGGCCUUCGGGUUGUAAACCUCUUUCAGCAGGGAAGAAGCGAAAGUGACGGUACCUGCAGAAGAAGCGCCGGCUAACUACGUGCCAGCAGCCGCGGUAAUACGUAGGGCGCAAGCGUUGUCCGGAAUUAUUGGGCGUAAAGAGCUCGUAGGCGGCUUGUCACGUCGGUUGUGAAAGCCCGGGGCUUAACCCCGGGUCUGCAGUCGAUACGGGCAGGCUAGAGUUCGGUAGGGGAGAUCGGAAUUCCUGGUGUAGCGGUGAAAUGCGCAGAUAUCAGGAGGAACACCGGUGGCGAAGGCGGAUCUCUGGGCCGAUACUGACGCUGAGGAGCGAAAGCGUGGGGAGCGAACAGGAUUAGAUACCCUGGUAGUCCACGCCGUAAACGGUGGGCACUAGGUGUGGGCAACAUUCCACGUUGUCCGUGCCGCAGCUAACGCAUUAAGUGCCC